UACGAAGGGGGCUAGCGUUGCUCGGAAUUACUGGGCGUAAAGGGAGCGUAGGCGGAUAGUUUAGUCAGAGGUGAAAGCCCAGGGCUCAACCUUGGAAUUGCCUUUGAUACUGGCUAUCUUGAGUAUGGAAGAGGUAUGUGGAACUCCGAGUGUAGAGGUGAAAUUCGUAGAUAUUCGGAAGAACACCAGUGGCGAAGGCGACAUACUGGUCCAUUACUGACGCUGAGGCUCGAAAGCGUGGGGGGCAAACAGG
rnacentral:rRNA from 1 species